UCCAUCAUGUUGGCAAGCAGGGUUUGGAAGCUUCUCUAAGUUUGGAUCUUCUUUAGAAAACCAAGGUUCCCUGUCCCCAACCUCUUACCUCCACCUCCCCACCAAAAUGAAAGACCGUGGAUGAGCAAGUAUGAGACAUACAGAACCUGUGGGAACUUGCACUUGGCCAUCGGUAAUAUUUAUCCAGACAUGCAAUCCCUUGGUUCAGCCCUCUAGGAACUCAGGCUAGGCUGUUCUCACUUAUUUUCAGGAUCCAAAAGAAGUGAGUACUGAAACAACCUUCCAUUAUCAUUAAAAGUGAAGUUCAUGGGCAUGUAUUGUGUCCCACAAUAAAAAACCCCAAACUACUAGAAAAAAAGUACUCUAAUGUUCUCAUUUCUGUAACAUGUAAUAUUAGAGGGUUCACAGAUGUCUUGAGGUUGGGCAUAGUGUAGAAUAAUGGUAACUGCUGCCAUUUCUUGAGAUAUUACUAUGUGGCAGGUACUGUCUUAAGCACUUCACAGAAAUAAUCUCAUUUAAUCUUUUAUUAUUGUUCUUAUUCAAUAUAUUAGGCCUAGAAGUGAGAAAUUGGUGUCUCUUUGGAAGCAAAAGAGAUUCGUUGUGAGCAGAGUGUGCUCUACAAGGUUCCUGCUGAGGUCCGAGCAAAGAUGGACACCUGCUUCUGUUGGGUUAACUGGCCCAGUCAUGGCUUCAGUCUCUUGCAUCUGCCAGGCUCCUGGAUGUUUCUUCUUUGGCCCCCCAAGGCUGGUCUGGAAACCUCCACCCUGUGCCUGUGCAGCACCAGCCUCCACCCAGCCGGGUCCCUCCGGAGUGAACUUCCCAGGGAUGCUGAGCCCCACGUGGAAGUCAGUGAGGCUUAGGUCAUCAGCACUGCUUCUUGCUGGCUAAAGACCCUGCUUCCCUUCUCCAAGCCUCAGUACCUUCCACUGUCCAAUGGGGAUAAUAGGAUCUUCCUCCUAGCUCUGCUGCAGGAGACCUCCCUCAGAACUCUUCCUCCCUCUCCACACAUGGCCCAGACCACCCAGCUUCUCCAGCAGCUCCCCACCUGGCAGCACACCCAUGGACCAUCUUCAGCCUUGACACCUGACCUGAGUGGUGAAAGAGAUUUUCAUCCUCCUCAUGCAGUCUAUCUUCUGAGUGACCCCAGCACCAAAGACUUUGAGAAAUGGAUGUGAAUCAAUAAACAUGAUUCUUUGCCAGAUACUUGAAAAAUAUUGGACUGGUGUGAUAGUAUGUUAGGGGGUACAAGAGAAAUGAUUGACUUCCUGCUGCUUUCUAGGAGCUCAAAAGAGUGGAAGGGAGAAACAGUUCAGAUAUAGGAUGCGACCAAGACUAAGUCAAGAGAGCAAUCAAUGGAGUGUUUGCCAAAUCCAAGUGUUUGCCCCUGGCAGUGAGUGCUAUGAGCACACCUGGAAAGGAAGAGCCAGCCCUACUACAGGGAGAAAGGAACUCUUUGAAGGACCUAAGACAUGGUGGAUGGACAUGCAGGUGCGAGACCACAGGGUCAGGCACUACGGAGGUAUCUAGCUCUCCUCCUACCCAGCUCUUGGUUAUAAAAUGUGAAGUGCUCACUCAUUUAGUCUUCACAACACCCUUGUGUGGAAGGUACCGUGAUCAGGGCCAUAUCAUAAAUGAGGAGACCCAAACCCAAGGGAUGAGUGGCCUGUGGUCUCACAGUUGUCAAACACAAAGGUAAGGCUCAGAUCUGUGCCCCUGACUUCCUAGCUGUGCUGCCAGGUGAGAUAGUGUGUGUAUUCAGAGUUGGCAUUACUAGCAGCCUGAUUCUUUAAUCUUAAAUUGGAGGUAAUAACCCUACCCCAUGGGGGUGUGGGGGCCUAAAUGAGAUAAGGUAGAUAAAGUCUCUGGUUUAUAGUGGGUGUUGAGAUGUUCCCGGCUGUCCUGUCCUCAGUUCCCUCAAACCUACCUUGAGCAUUAUGCACUGAUAUGUUAGUUCAUAGCACGUGUGGUCACCAUUUCUGGAAGGACCAUGAGAUUUUCAGGUCUUUGCUUGGUUUGCAUAGGUUACUUCUACCUGGGAUGCAUUUUCCUUCUGUUUCCAGGCUUCCAAAAGUGGGAAGCCUCCAAGUACCCAUUUAGGAAGCUUUUACCCUGGGAAAUCUCUAGUUCUCUCCAGUUGUAAGUGGCUUUUCUUCCCUCUGGUACCCUGGGGUCUUCUGUAUGGCCUGCUUGAGCAUCCUGGGUCUCAGCUAUGCCGCGUAGAAAAGGGGACAAAAACAGUCACCCCAUAGGAGCUGUGCAAAGUAUGUUAUACUUGAGAAAACAAAAGAAGAACCUAAUAAGUGGUAUCUAUUAUUCUAUUAUCAUUAUUACUUGACAUAUUCUUUCUCUGUUUUUUUUUUUUUUUUUUUCUCUCCUAGAUGAGGGAUCCCAGGGUAGGGAUAUUGUUAAAUAAUGCUUUAUUUUUUCUACAAUGCCCAGCACAGAGCCUGGAAUGUAAGAGGUGCUCAGUGACUGACUAUAGAAGGGAACAAAUAUCAAGCUAGAGAUUACACAAUGGAGGAGAUUGGCCUGGAUUCACAGGAAUGAGGCUCUGUUCACACCUGCUGUGUUAGGUGCUUACAUUUUGCAAAGCCUCCUGCUAAGUGCUCUAGAGUAUGGGAAGAAACUUCGAUGCUGUCUGGCCCCAGGGAUUAGCCUUCUGGUUGGGACUAAGCAAGAGAAUCCAGGACAUGGUUUAUCAGCAAAGUACAGGAUUCCAGAAGCACUGAGGCUGCCCUUGGAAAAGCUGUGAACAAGGUCCAGCAGAACACGAAUCCUAUGGCUACAGUGAUAUUCCCUUUUCUCAACUACUGCUAAAUGUCCUGUACCCAGUCAAGUGUCAUGGGGCCGCAUAAAGCUCACCAUGGAUUUAAUGAAUGAAAUGUGGAAAUAAUCCUGAGGAGGGGGAGAGAAAUGGUGUGGAUUACUGGGGAAGGAACAGAAAGGUGUUUUAUAAGUAGAGAGAAACUGAAGUAAAAAAAAAAAAACAAACUCAGAAAAAACUUGACUAUGAGCAGAUGUUGGGUAGCAGAAGUUUUGCUGGCAAAAUACUGGGGACAAAUUGUAUAUCCAAUAAUAGAAAAGUGGUUUUGUAAAUUAUGACACUCCACUAAAUGUCAUUAUAUAAGGGCAUUAAAAAAUUAAGUUUGCAAAGACCUUAUAACAAGAUAGGAUUGUUAGUGACAAAUGCAAUGAUAGAAAAUCGUAUGACCCUAAAAUUAUGGCUAUUAAAGCUAAAUAAAAAGACUAAGAGCAAGCACAGGAAACUAUUAGAAGCGUCCUUACAUCCUAGGUUUAUGAAUGAUUUUUCUCCUCUCUUUGUUCUGUUUUUUUGGAUUUCUUAAGAUUUCUAUG